AAAUACUCAUGAAUGACCGAUAGUGAACUAGUACAGUGAGGGAAAGGUGAAAAGUACACUUAUAAAGGGAGUGUAAUAGAAUCUGAAACAGCUUGCAUACAAGCAGUAGGAGCAUGAUUUAGUAAUGUGACUGCGUACCUUAUGUAUAAUGGGUCAGCGAGUUUUUUUUAGUGGCUAGGAUAACUGAAUUAGGGAUCCGUAGCGAAAGCGAGUUUUAUUAGGGCGACUAG
rnacentral:rRNA from 1 species